AUUUUUUUCUAAGUAUUUUCUUAUCCAGUAAAAAAAUCUGUUCUUAUCAGCUUAAUACCUGUUACGUUCUCCAUCACAAGACUAGAAUGUUAAACUCAUUUUUGGCUCAUGAUGGAGUCCUAAGAGCAUGCUCUAGCUCUGUCACAGGAUGCCUUAUCACUUUCGAACUCUCUUAACGCAGCCAAAUACCU